rnacentral:rRNA from 1 species
UACGUAGGUGGCAAGCGUUGUUCGGAAUUAUUGGGCGUAAAGGGCGCGUAGGCGGUUUGUUAAGUCGGUUGUGAAAGCCCGGGGCUCAACCCCGGAGGGUCGACCGAUACUGGCAGGCUAGAGUACAGAAGAGGUAGCUGGAAUUCCCGGUGUAGCGGUGAAAUGCGUAGAUAUCGGGAGGAAUACCGGUGGCGAAAGCGACUCUCUGGACGGCAACUGACGCUGAGGCACGAAGCGUGGGAGCAACAGG